AGAUUGAACGCUGGCGGCAUGCCUUACACAUGCAAGUCGAACGGUAGAGUAGCAAUACUUGAGAGUGGCGAACGGGUGAGUAAUAUAUCGGAACGUGCCCAGUCGCGGGGGAUAACGUAGAGAAAUUUACGCUAAUACCGCAUACGAUCUAAGGAUGAAAGCGGGGGAUCGCAAGACCUCGCGCGAUUGGAGCGGCUGAUAUCAGAUUAGGUUGUUGGUGAGGUAAAAGCUCACCAAGCCGACGAUCUGUAGCUGGUUUGAGAGAACGACCAGCCACACUGGGACUGAGACACGGCCCAGACUCCUACGGGAGCAGCAGUGGGAAUUUUGGACAAGUGGGCGAAAGCCUGACUCCAGCAAUGCCGCGUGCAGGAAGAAGGCCUUCGGGUUAGUAAACUGUCUUUUAGUAACGGAAACGAAAAGGCUACUUUACUAAAUAAAGAGGACCCAGUAGUACGGUAACCGUAAAGAAUAA
rnacentral:rRNA from 1 species